rnacentral:rRNA from 1 species
GAUCUGGCUCAGAUUGAACGCUGGCGGCAUGCUUUACACAUGCAAGUCGAACGGCAGCAUAGAGAGCUUGCUCUCUGAUGGCGAGUGGCGAACGGGUGAGUAAUACAUCGGAACGUGUCCUGUUGUGGGGGAUAACUACUCGAAAGAGUAGCUAAUACCGCAUAAGACCUAAGGGUGAAAGCGGGGGACCUUCGGGCCUCGCGCAGUUGGAGCGGCCGAUGACUGAUUAG